UGAAGGGUUUCCAUUCGGUCUGUUCAGUAUCUAUGGUUGUUUUCCAAUUGUGAGUGACUCUUCUGAUUUCUAUCUUUCUUCAAUUUCUAUUUCUCUAUUGGUCUUGCUUGGAUUACUUGGAUUUUAAUCUUGGUCUUGUGAAGUGGGUGUGAUUUUGGUGUGCUUGUGGUGCCCUAAUGAUUAUCGGUUGUUUUGAGCUGUGUUGUUCUAGCCUUUACAAUGACAGAAUGAUAAUAGACCUUUUGUUUAUGUAUUCUGAUUUCUACCUUGUGUUUUAGAGAUGGUUAGACUUUCAAUUUGUUUAAAUGUCAGUUCUCCAAUUGUGAGUGACUCCUUUACUUUAUGAUUUUACUAGAUUUCUAUAUUGCUCUUUUGGUCUCUACUUUGAGUUGAAAUCAUGGUCUUGAGAAACAAUAAUCUGUUAAGUAUUGGUUCUCUCAGUAGUUCAUUUAGUGCAGGGUAAAGUUUCUGAAAUUUGUAGGUCUCUAGAAGUAUAGAGCUUUAUGGAUUGUUCUUAGUUGUUCCUGUUUUGCCUCUGCUGAGGAUUAAUGCAAAGGACUUCUCUGCUUUGAUAUUUUCUUUUCAUUAUAUCAAUUUCCCCACUGAUAGUACUUUGGAAAUUGAGAGUCUGGUAUUUUUUUUUUUUUUUUAAAGAGGAUCAAAGGAGUUCACUCCUACCCCCAUCAUGACAAUACCUAAAUGCUUUGGUAUUGAGAGUCUGGUAUUGAAGGUUAAUUUCCUUCUUUCUUCAUUUUGUUUUGACUCUUGAAAGAGGAGCUGGAACCUUGUUAUUUGUAGUGUGAUUUUGUUGGUUUUCUUUUGUUGUUCAGUAUCAAUUUUUCAUGCACACAAGGUGUUUGACAAAAUGAUUCUAAAUUGCUUUAUUUUGGUUACCAUGUAGUGUUGGAG
rnacentral:lncRNA from 1 species